AACGAACGCUGGCGGCAGGCCUAACACAUGCAAGUCGAACGCCCCGCAAGGGGAGUGGCAGACGGGUGAGUAACACGUGGGAACCUUCCCUAUAGUACGGAAUAGCCCAGGGAAACUUGGAGUAAUACCGUAUACGCCCGAAAGGGGAAAGAAUUUCGCUAUAGGAUGGGCCCGCGUAGGAUUAGCUAGUUGGUGAGGUAAUGGCUCACCAAGGCGACGAUCCUUAGCUGGUUUGAGAGAACGACCAGCCACACUGGGACUGAGACACGGCCCAGACUCCUACGGGAGGCAGCAGUGGGGAAUAUUGGACAAUGGGCGCAAGCCUGAUCCAGCCAUGCCGCGUGAGUGAUGAAGGCCUUAGGGUUGUAAAGCUCUUUUGGCGGGGACGAUAAUGACGGUACCUGCAGAAUAAGUCCCGGCUAACUUCGUG
rnacentral:rRNA from 1 species